GCCACCAGGAGAACACAGCCACUGUCGAGAUUGUUAAUGCACAGCACAUAAUGAGCAUCCAUGACAGGCAGGGCUUACCGAGACCAGACAAGGGAGAAGCAAAGAAUCCAAGAGCCAACCCCCCAUGAGGAGACAGACUAGAUGCAGUCAGUCAGAGGCCUGCAGGUAGAAGAAAUCUCUCUGUGCUCACACUUCCUACUCCACUUUCUCUGUCCGUAUCUACGACACUACUGGCUCCCGGCAUCACAGUCACCUCUCAUGACAACCUCAGCAGCAGUUUCUUUCCCUGUCCUUUGACACAAGUGACCUGAAGCCUCUAGAAACUCCAGAGGAGCCUUGCCGGAGAAGGAAAAUGGAGCUGGCAGGAGCCACACCGCAUUCCUCUCUGGACCGCCACAGAGCCACCGCCCUCACCCAAGACCAUUUCUCAUAUGGCCACAGAUAUAUCAUGGGACAUAUUUUUACUUUUCAAAUUUCACCAAGAAAUGGAAUUUUCAGUAACUACUAUGGCAUAAGAGGGCUUAGCAAGUAAUAAAAGAGCUCUGAAAGAGGAUGGCAUCAGAAAUCAUACUAGAAUCAGAAAUCUCUGAAAGAAGUUUUAUUUAAAACAAAAGAAAAAAAUAUUCAAAUGGCACCAGGAGAAGAAAGGCCUACAAAAGAUAAGCGUUGGCAUUAAAUGACAAGAGAGAGUAACCCUCUGCCAAGAAAGACCCUGAAUGAAUUUUCUGUCUCUGAAUCUACAUGCUGAAGGUCACCGUUCAGUGGCAGCAGAAUAAAUGCCCUAUAAGGAACGUGAAGUAUGAAA